UACGGGGGGAGCAAGCGUUGUUCGGAUUUACUGGGCGUAAAGGGCGCGUAGGCGGCGCAACAAGUCAGCUGUGAAAUCUCCGGGCUUAACCCGGAGCGGCCAGCUGAUACUGUCGUGCUAGAGUGCGGAAGGGGCUACUGGAAUUCUCGGUGUAGCGGUGAAAUGCGUAGAUAUCGUGAGGAACACCUGUGGCGAAGGCGGGUAGCUGGGCCGACACUGACGCUGAGGCGCGAAAGCGUGGGGAGCGAACAGG
rnacentral:rRNA from 1 species